rnacentral:rRNA from 1 species
AGAGUUUGAUCCUGGCUCAGGAUGAACGCUGGCGGUCUGCUUAACACAUGCAAGUCGAACGCACCUUUCGGGGUGAGUGGCGGACGGGUGAGUAACGCGUGAGAAUCUGCCUUUUGGUCGGGGACAACCACUGGAAACGGUGGCUAAUACCGGAUGUGCCUACGGGUAAAAGAUUUAUUGCCAGAAGAAGAGCUCGCGUCUGAUUAGCUAGUUGGUAGGGUAAAAGCCUACCAAGGCAUCGAUCAGUAGCUGGUCUGAGAGGAUGACCAGCCACACUGGGACUGAGACACGGCCCAGACUCCUACGGGAGGCAGCAGUGGGGAAUUUUCCGCAAUGGGCUAAAGCCUGACGGAGCAAGACCGCGUGAGGGAGGAAGGCUCUUGGGUUGUAAACCUCUUUUGUCAGGGAAGAAGAAAGUGACGGUACCUGACGAAUCAGCAUCGGCUAACUCCGUGCCAGCAGCCGCGGUAAUACGGAGGAUGCAAGCGUUAUCCGGAAUUAUUGGGCGUAAAGCGUCCGCAGGUGGCACUUCAAGUCUGUCGUCAAAGACCGGGGCUUAACCCUGGAAAGGCGAUGGAAACUGAAAGGCUAGAGAGAGGUAGGGGUAGAGGGAAUUCCCAGUGUAGCGGUGAAAUGCGUAGAGAUUGGGAAGAACAUCGGUGGCGAAAGCGCUCUACUGGACCUCAUCUGACACUCAGGGACGAAAGCUAGGGGAGCGAAUGGGAUUAGAUACCCUAGUAGUCC